rnacentral:rRNA from 1 species
GACGAACGCUGGCGGCGUGCUUAACACAUGCAAGUCGAACGGAAAGGCCCUGCUUUUGUGGGGUGCUCGAGUGGCGAACGGGUGAGUAACACGUGAGUAACCUGCCCUUGACUUUGGGAUAACUUCAGGAAACUGGGGCUAAUACCGGAUAGGAGCUCCUGCUGCAUGGUGGGGGUUGGAAAGUUUCGGCGGUUGGGGAUGGACUCGCGGCUUAUCAGCUUGUUGGUGGGGUAGUGGCUUACCAAGGCUUUGACGGGUAGCCGGCCUGAGAGGGUGACCGGCCACAUGGGGACUGAGAUACGGCCCAGACUCCUACGGGAGGCAGCAGUGGGGAAUAUGGCACAAGGGGCGGAAGCCUGAUGCAGCAACGCCGCGUGCGGGAUGACGGCCUUCGGGUGGUAAACCGCUUUCGCCUGUGACGAAGCGUGAGGGACGGGAAUGGGGAAAGAAGCACCGGCGAACUACGG